CAUAGUGAUAUGCUUGUCUUAAAGAUUAAGCCAUGCAUGCCUCAGUACAAACUGUUGUAGAGUGAAACCGCGAAUGGCUCAUUAAAUCGGUUAUGGUUCCUUGGACCUAAAAGUUACUUGGAUAACUGUGGUAAUUCUAGAGCUAAUACAUGCAUUUCAGUCGUGACCCGAAAGGGGAAGGACGCUUUUAUUAGAUCAAAGCCAAUCGGCCGGCUCGCCCGGUCGUUCCGUUUUGGUGACUCUGGAUAACCUUGGGCUGAUCGCACGGUCUCCGCACCGGCGACGUGUCCUUCAAAUGUCUGCCUUAUCAACUGACGAUGGUAGGUUUUGCGCCUACCAUGGUUGUAACGGGUGACGGGGAAUCAGGGUUCGAUUCCGGAGAGGGAGCCUGAGAAACGGCUACCACAUCCAAGGAAGGCAGCAGGCGCGCAAAUUACCCACUCCCGGCACGGGGAGGUAGUGACGAAAAAUAACGAUACGGGACUCAUCCGAGGCCCCGUAAUCGGAAUGAGAACAUUUUAAAUCUCUUAACGAUUACCCAUUAGAGGGCCAGUCUGGUGCCAGCAGCCGCGGUAAUUCCAGCUCUAAUAGCGUAUAUUAAAAUUGCUGCGGUUAAAAAGCUCGUAGUUUGACCUGUGCCCUGCGCUGCCGGUUCACCGCUCGUCGGUGUCCAACUGGCAUGCGUGCGGGGCGUCCUGCCGGUGGGCGCGAGCCGACUGCGGCGGCAGCGUUCUCGGUCCUGGCUCCGGCGGUGAGCAAUCGCUGUCGGGCCGGGUUCUCGGGGGCGUUGAUGCCCCGUGGAAGGCGGACCCCGAUCUCACCCGCCGCGGUGCUCUUAACUGAGUGUCGUGCGGGCCGGCACGUUUACUUUGAACAAAUUAACGUGCUUAACGCAGGCCUUUGUCUGCCCGAAUACAUCUUGCAUGGAAUAAUGGAAUAGGACCAUCGGUUCUAUUUUGUUGGUUUUCGGAAGUCGAGGUAAUGAUUAAUGGGGAUUGCCGGGGGCAUCCGUAUUGCGACG
rnacentral:rRNA from 1 species